GAGGAGGGACACAGAACGUUGAACCAGCCCUCCUUGUCUUCCCGUGUUCCCAGCACCAUCUGGUGAACCUCACAACGCGGGUCAGUGCCGAUCUUCUCAAUGAUUGGCAGGAUCUCUCUGUUGGAGGAUCAGGAGAUGCAAGUUCAAAGAAACAAAAAUUAGAGCAGAGACAAAAGACUACAGGAGACCUCACAACCCACUCAAAACAGCCCCUUUUAACCCACAUCCAGUCUUCUUCAGCCACACAGCAUCUCAAACCCACUCCCCCAGCCUCUCUCAACCACACAGCAUCUCAAACUCACAUUCCCAGACCUUUUCAGCCCUCAGUCCCUCUCCUCAGCCCCAUCAGCCCCUCUCCUCUCUAAGCCACCAGACCCACCUGAUGAAGUCCUCAUCAGCCAGAGCCACGUCAGGGAAGGGGAUGGGCUGGAGGAGCUGUGCCAGGCCGGGUCUCCAGUCGUCAUACUCACAGCUGGGGAUGUAAAGGUCACAGCUUGGGUCAACUUGGGUGAUGGAAAAUGUUUGUUGUCUUUCAGUGUGUGCAUGUGUGUUGGGUAAUGUUUGUUGUGUGAAUGUUUGUUGUUUUGUUACUGCGAUUGGGAAAAAUGUUUGUUAGUGUUUUCUUGUUUGUUUUUUAUGUAAUGUAAUUUUGUUAUGUAGUUCUCUCUCUCUCUCCACAGCUCACAGCGUGUCCCCCACAGUGCGUUGACAAACCAGUCACUCACCACAGCCCCUCAACAUAAAAAAAGGUCACAAAAAUGUAUUAACAAGUCUAUAAUAAACUAAAUGAUUUAC